rnacentral:rRNA from 1 species
UGGGGAAUAUUGGACAAUGGGCGGAAGCCUGAUCCAGCCAUGCCGCGUGUGUGAAGAAGGCCUUUUGGUUGUAAAGCACUUUAAGCGAGGAGGAGGCUACUUGGAUUAAUACUCUAGGAUAGUGGACGUUACUCGCAGAAUAAGCACCGGCUAACUCUGUGCCAGCAGCCGCGGUAAUACAGAGGGUGCGAGCGUUAAUCGGAUUUACUGGGCGUAAAGCGUGCGUAGGCGGCUUUUUAAGGCGGAUGU